CUUCUAUUGCCAAAGCCACGAUCCAACUACAAUCUUCCUUUCCCUCGGUUCCCACCAACAGCAAGAACAGGACCACUCCCUCUGCCAGUUCCGCUCACCAGAAAAGAGAUCUUCCGCUCUCUCAAUUCUCACAAGAAGGAACAGAGGGGAACCACUCCUGGUUCACCGGGCUUCUCGGUUCCUUCUUCUUUCCCUCUGUCAGUCUGCUCAAA
rnacentral:lncRNA from 1 species